UCUUAUGGAUAAGCAAAGAAAGUGGUUCUUGAUAUAGAAUCUAUCCCUGGUGAAGAUGUUAUGAA
rnacentral:pre_miRNA from 1 species